rnacentral:rRNA from 1 species
UACAGAGGGUGCAAGCGUUAAUCGGAAUUACUGGGCGUAAAGCGUGCGUAGACGGUUAUGUAAGUCAGGUGUGAAAGCCCCGGGCUCAACCUGGGAAUGGCAUUUGAGACUGCGUAGCUAGGGUGCGGAAGAGGGAAGCGGAAUUUCCGGUGUAGCGGUGAAAUGCGUAGAUAUCGGAAGGAACACCAGUGGCGAAAGCGGCUUCCUGGUCCAGCACCGAGUUCAGGCACGAAAGCGUGGGGAGCAAACAGG